rnacentral:misc_RNA from 1 species
UUUGUUUUGUUUUUUAAUUAUUGUUUUCGUUUGCCCUUUUCUAUUACUUCUCCUAAAUCAAUUUGGAUUCUUUGUCUCUGUUUGGUCGCUGACCAAAGGGAUGAAAAGGAAAAAAGAAAGCAAGCAAAACCGCUUGUUGUGGUUUCAAAACGCAAUUUUGUUGUCUUAAAACUUUGAUUUUGAUUCUUUCAUGUCAUGUGAUAUCUCUGCAAUGAAACAGAGCGGCCAAUCCAAG